rnacentral:rRNA from 1 species
GACAGAGGGGGCAAGCGUUGCUCGGAAUUACUGGGCGUAAAGGGCGCGUAGGCGGGAUGGCAAGUCGGUCGUGAAAUCCCUCGGCUCAACUGAGGAUCGUCGAUCGAUACUGCCGUUCUUGAGGAUUGCAGAGGAGACUGGAAUUCCCGGUGUAGCGGUGAAAUGUGUAGAGAUCGGGAGGAACACCGGUGGCGAAGGCGGCAUCCUGGACCAACACUGACGCUGAUGAGCGAAAGCCAGGGGAGCAAACGGG